UUUUACGAACGGACUACGGAUUAGAGGACAAAACGGUCCGAAAGUGGGAAAAAUUUGCGACGUUGGCUAGAAAUUGAUGGAAACGGUGGGGAAAGACACAUGACCUGGACUCUAACAAGACCUAACUAGCAACAAGACCUCGAAAUCGGAGUUCGUAUGCGAAAGUUAUGGCUGUUUUAUGAACGGACUCCGAAUUAGAGGACAAAACUGUCCAAAAGUGGGAAAAAUUUGUGGCGGUGGCUAUAAAUUGAUUGAAAUGGUGGGGAAAAACACACGAACUGGACUCUAACAAGACCUAACCAGCAAUAACACCUCGACCAGGACACAAACUCGACACUGCGGACUCUGAAACUGAAAUAUGCAAAGGCUAUGGCGCGGAAGGGUUGUAGGACAAGAAAACGAUAUGGACUCGACUUAUGGGACGAACACAAGAACACUCGAAACUAAGGGUAGAUGUGAACCUAACGGUAUACCUGAAGCUUUGAUUACCACUUGAUGAGAACAAGGGUGACCCGAUCUUCAGAAAGGUUAUGAUAACUCUCGGUUUGGUGGAGACGAGACACAAAUCGAUCCGGCUUUCAAACAACACGAUACGAAACUCUGCAAUUUUUUUUUAUUUUUUUGAUAUUUUUCUUUUACUUAGGAGCACUAAAGAACUAACCAUAGAAAAUUUGAGCUUAAACAAGUGAAAGACGUGGCCUGCGGAAUUUUCUGAAAAUUGUGACAAAUGUGAAAAAAACAUCACGAGGUGAAGACUCAAACUUCGGAGGCAAAUUUGGAGAUUCUAAAAUUUUCAAACCAGCCAGAAGCAGGAACAGACAGAUCUGAAAUUUUUUUCUGAUUGAUUUUGAUAUAUGGAACGUUGAAAUCGGAGUUCGUAUGCGAAAGUUAUGGUUAUUUUACGGACGGACUCCGAAUUAGAGAACAAAACGGUCCGAAAGUGGAAAAAAAUUGCGGCGGUGGCUAGAAAUUGAUGGAAAUGGUGGGGAAAAAUACACGAACUAGACUCUAACAAGACCUAACCAGCAACAAGACCUCGACCAGGACACAAACUCAAAACUGCGGAGUCUCAAAGUGAAAUAUGCAAAGGCUAUGGCGCGAAAGGGUUGUAGGACAGGAAAAUGACAUGACACUGGACUUAUGGGACGAACACAAGAACACUCGAAACUAAGGGUAGAUGUGAACCUAACGGUAUAUCUAAAGCUUUUAUUACCACUUGAUGAGAACAAGGGUGGCCCGAUCGUCCAAAAGGUUAUGAUAACUCUCGAUUUGGUGGAGACGAGACACAAAUCAAUCCGGCUUCCGAACAACACGAUCUGAAACCCUACAAUUUCUUUUAUUUUUUUUGAUAUUUUUAUUUUACUUAGGAGCACUAAAGAAGUAACCACAGAAAAUUUGAGCUUAAACAAGUGAAAGACGUGGCCUGCGGAAUUCUCUGAAGAUUGCGAAAAAUGUGAAAAAAACUUCACAAGGUGAAAACUCAAACAUCAGAGGUGAAUUUGGAGAUUAUAAACUUUUCAAACCCACUGUUGGUGGGUACAGAUAGAUCCAAAAAAAUUUUCUGAUCGAUUUUGAUAUAUGGAACGUUGAAAUCGGAGUUCAUAUGCGAAAGUUAUGGCUGUUUUACGAACGGACUACGAAUUAGAGGACAAAAUGGUCCGAAAGUGGGAAAAAUUUGCGGCGGUGGCUAGAAAUUGAUGGAAACGGUGGAGAAAAACACAUGAACUGGACUCUAACAAGACCUAACCAGCAACAAGACCUCGACCAGGACACAAACUCAACACUGCGGACUCUGAAACUGAAAUAUGCAGAGGCUAUGGCGCGGAAGGGUUGUAGGACAGGAAAACGAUGUGGCACUGGACUUAUGGGACGAACACAAGAACACCCGAAACUAAGGGUAGAUAUGAACCUAACGGUAUACCUCAAGCUUUGAUUACCACUUGAUGAGAACAAGGGUUGUCCGAUCUUCCAAAAGGUUCUGGUAACUCUCGAUUUUGUGGAGACGAGGCACAAAUCGAUCCGGCUUCCGAACAACACGAUCUGAAACCAUGCAAGUUUUUUUUUUAUUUUUUUGAUAUUUUUCUUUUAUUUAGGAGCACUAAAGAAGUAACCACAGAAAUUUGAGCUUAAACAAGUGAAAGACGUGGCCUGCGGAAUUCUCUGAAGAUUGCGAAAAAUGUGAAAAAAACUUUACGAGGUGAAAACUCAAACUUCGGUGGUGAAUUUGGAGAUUAUAAAAUUUUCAAACCCCCCAAAGGCGGGGACAGACAGAUCCAAAAAAAUUUUCUCAUCGAUUUUGAUAAAUGGAACGUUGUAAUCGGAGUUCAUAUUCGAAAGUUAUGGCUGUUUUACGAACGGACUCCGUAUUAGAGGACAAAACGGUCCGAAAGUGGGAAAAAAUUGCAGCGGUGGCUAGAAAUUGAUGGAAACGGUGCGGAAAAACACAUAAACGGGACUCUAACAAGACCUAACCAGCAACAAGACCUCGACCAGGACACAAACUCAACACUGCGAACUCUGAAACUGAAAUAUGCAAAGGCUAUGGCGCGGAAGGGUUGUAGGACACGAAAACGAUAUGGCACUGGACUUAUGGGACGAACACAAGAACACCCAAAACUAAGGGUAGAUGUGAACAUAACGGUAUACCUCAAGCUUUGAUUACCACUUGAUGAGAACAAGGGUGGUCCGAUCUUCCGAAAGGUUCUGGUAACUCUCGAUUUGGUGGAGACGAGGCACAAAUCGAUCCGGCUUCCGAACAACAUGAUCUGAAACCAUGCAAGUUUUUUUUAUUUUUUUUUUGAUAUUUUUAUUUUACUUAGGAGCACUAAAUAAGUAACCACAGAAAAUUUGAGCUUAAACAAGUGAAAGACGUGGCCUGCGGAAUUCUCUGAAGAUUGCAAAAAAUGUGAAAAAAACUUCACGAGGUGAAAACUCAAACUUCUGUGGUGAAUUUGGAGAUUAUAAAAUUGUCAAGCAACCCAAAGGCAGGGACAGACAGAUCCAAAAAAAUUUUCUCAUCGAUUUUGAUAUAUGGAACGUUGUAAUCGGAGUUCAUAUGCGAAUGUUAUGGCUGUUUUACGAACGGACUCCGAAUUAUAGGACAAAACGGUCUGAAAGUGGAAAAAAUUUGCGGCGGUGGCUAGAAAUUGAUGGAAACAGUGGGGAAAAACACAUGAACUAGACUCUAACAAGACCUAACCAGCAACAAGACCUCGACCAGGACACAAACUCAACACUGCGGACUGUGAAACUGAAAUAUGCAAAGGCUAUAGUGUGGAAGGUUUAUAGGACAGGAAAACGAUAUGGCACUGGACUUAUGGGACGAACACAAGAGCACUCGAAACUAAGUCUAGAUGUGAACCUAACGGUAUACCUGAAGCUUUGAUUACCACUUGAUGAGAACAAGGGUGGCCCGAUCUUCUGAAAGGAUCUGGUAACUCUCGAUUUGGUGGAGACGAGACACAAAUCGAUCCGGCUUCCGAACAACACGAUCUGAAACCCUGCAAUUUUUUUUUAUUUUUUUUGAUAUUUUUCAUUUACUUAGGAGCACUAAACAAGUAACCAUAGAAAAUUUGAGCUUUAACAAGUGAAAGACGUGGCCUGAGGAAUUUUCGGAAAAUUGCGAAAAAUGUGAAAAAAACUUCACAAGGUGAAAACUCAAACAUUGGAGGGGAAUUUGGAGACUCUAAAAUUUUCAAACCCACCAAAUGCAGGGACAUACAGAUCAAAAAAAAAAUUUUGAUCGAUUUUGAUAUAUGGAACGUUGAAAUCAGAGUUCGUAUGCGAAAGUUAUGGCUGUUUUACGAACGGACUCCGAAUUAGAGGACAAAACGGUUCGAAAGUGGAAAAAUUUUGUGGCGGUGACUAGAAAUUGUUGGAAACGGUGGGGAAAAACACAUGAACUGGACUCUAACAAGACCUAACUAGCAACACGACCUCGACCAGGACACAAACUCAACACUGCGGACUCUAAAACUGAAAUAUGCAAAUGCUAUGGCGCGGAAGGGUUGUGGGACACGAAAACAACAUGGCACUGGACUUUUUUUAUGGGACGAACACAAGAACACUCAAAACUAAGGGUAGAUGUGAACAUAACGGUAUACCUGAAGCUUUGAUUACCACUUGAUGAUUACAAGGGUGGCCCGGUCUUCCGAAAAGUUCUGGUAACUCUCGAUUUGGUGGAGAUGAGGCACAAAUCGAUUCGGCUUCCGAACAACACGAUCUGAAACCCUACAAGUUUUUUUUAUUUUUUUGAUAUAUUUAUUUUACUUAGGAGCACUAAAGAAGUAACCAUAGAAAAUUUGAGCUUAAACAAGUGAAAGACGUGGCCUGCGGAAUUCUCUGAAGAUUGUGAAAAAUGUGAAAAAAACUUCACAAGGUGAAAACUCAAACAUCAGAGGCGAAUUUGGAGAUUAUAAACUUUUCAAACCCACUGUUGGUGGGUACAGAUAGAUCCAAAAAAAUUUUAUGAUCGAUUUUGAUAUAUGGAACGUUGAAAUCGGAGUUCAUAUGCGAAAGUUAUGGCUGUUUUACGAACGGACUACGAAUUAGAGGACAAAACGGUCCGAAAGUGGGAAAAAUUUGCGGCGGUGGCUAGAAAUUGAUGGAAACGGUGGAGAAAAACACAUGAACUGGACUCUAACAAGACCUAACCAGCAACAAGACCUCGACCAGGACACAAACUCAACACUGCGGACUCUGAAACUGAAAUAUGCAGAGGCUAUGGCGCGGAAGGGUUGUAGGACAGGAAAACGAUGUGGCACUGGACUUAUGGGACGAACACAAGAACACCCGAAACUAAGGGUAGAUAUGAACCUAACGGUAUACCUCAAGCUUUGAUUACCACUUGAUGAGAACAAGGGUGGUCAGAUCUUCCAAAAUGUUCUGGUAACUCUCGAUUUGGUGGAGACGAGGCACAAAUCGAUCCGGCUUCCGAACAACACGAUCUGAAACCAUGCAAGUUUUUUUUUAUUUUUUUGAUAUUUUUCUUUUAUUUAGGAGCACUAAAGAAGUAACCACAGAAAUUUGAGCUUAAACAAGUGAUAGACGUGGCCUGCGGAAUUCUCUGAAGAUUGCGAAAAAUGUGAAAAAAACUUCACGAGGUGAAAACUCAAACUUCGGUGGUGAAUUUGGAGAUUAUAAAAUUGUCAAACCCCCCAAAGGCGGGGACAGACAGAUCCAAAAAAAUUUUCUCAUCGAUUUUGAUAAAUGGAACGUUGUAAUCGGAGUUCAUAUUCGAAAGUUAUGUUGUUUUACGAACGGACUCCGAAUUAGAGGACAAAACGGUCCGAAAGUGGGAAAAAUUUGCAGCGGUGGCUAGAAAUUGAUGGAAACGGUGCGGAAAAACACAUAAACGGGACUCUAACAAGACCUAACCAGCAACAAGACCUCGACCAGGACACAAACUCAACACUGCGAACUCUGAAACUGAAAUAUGCAAAGGCUAUGGCGCGGAAGGGUUGUAGGACACGAAAACGAUAUGGCACUGGACUUAUGGGACGAACACAAGAACACCCAAAACUAAGGGUAGAUGUGAACAUAACGGUAUACCUCAAGCUUUGAUUACCACUUGAUGAGAACAAGGGUGGUCGGAUCUUCCGAAAGGUUCUGGUAACUCUCGAUUUGGUGGAGACGAGGCACAAAUCGAUCCGGCUUCCGAACAACAUGAUCUGAAACCAUGCAAGUUUUUUUUAUUUUUUUUGAUAUUUUUCUUUUACUUAGGAGCACUAAAUAAGUAACCACAGAAAAUUUGAGCUUAAACAAGUGAAAGACGUGGCCUGCGGAAUUCUCUGAAGAUUGCAAAAAAUGUGAAAAAAACUUCACGAGGUGAAAACUCAAACUUCUGUGGUGAAUUUGG
rnacentral:lncRNA from 1 species